UGGAGUGACAGGGCGGAGGCAAAUGGAACGGGUCCUACCCCCCAAUCAUACGUUAAUUUGCCAGCCUGGCACUUUGUGUUUUUGGUUAUGUUUGUAAACCUGAAUUUAUGUUUGCUUAAAUCAAGUCAUUGUUUAAAAAGUUCAAUCAUCAUUCCAAUUUUCGUUCUAAAAUGUAGUAUAAACAAGAUAUAAUCCCCUAGAUUUCGUGAACUAUGCUUGGUUUAUGUAGAUGUCAGCAAUCAGCAUUGUUAUCA
rnacentral:lncRNA from 1 species